rnacentral:lncRNA from 1 species
UUUGCAAACUGUGCAACAGUUCUGGUACAGAGCCAGGUCCAAGGCUAAGAGGUCAGGAAAAAAAUAAGAAUAUGACAGUCCCAUGGCAUGAAGUUAGGCAUCUGAAAACGUGUGUGCUCCAAAACAGAGGUCAGUUAAUGGAAAAUUUUAGAAGAGAAAGUUGGGUUAGAGCCAGCACAGCAAGCUGAAAUCUGCUCUUACCUAACUGGCAAAGUCAGACCAGAAAUACAAGCAAGAAUAAGAAAGACACAAAUAUUUUAGAACUAAAUGAGAGGCUGUUUUCUGCAUUCCUUGGCUCAUGGCCCCUUCCAUCUUCAAAGCCAGCAAUGACAAGUUGAGUCUUUCUCAGGUCGCACUACUGACUCUUCUGCCUCCCUCUUCCAUAUCUGAGACACAACCGGAUAAUUUAGGAUAACCUCCUUAUUUUAAGACACAGUAAUUUUAGCAGAAUGCUAAUAGGACAAAACUGAAAAUUACAGAUGACGGGAGACCACUUACUAUGAAAAGCAGCUACUAUAAAAGCUAGUCCUCAGUUUGGUCCAGUGUCCAAGUCCCACCUCCAGAGCCAAGUCCCUCCUACCUCAUCAUGAAAACUCUCAGCAGCCCUGUGGAAAGAAUGGAGGCCUCCUGUCCACAACAAGCACCAACUUCCCAUGCGUGUGAAGGAGCCACCUAGAAAGUCAUCAUCUGGCUCCAGUCAAGCCUUCAGGUGACAUCUGAAUGACAUCUUGAAUACAAACUCAUGAGAGACCCUGAGCCAGGAAAACACAGCUAACCUGUUCCUGAAUUUCUGAUUUACGGAAAUGUUGUGAGAUGAUGUUUAUUGUUUUAAACUGCUACAUUUUGGAGUUAUUUGUUCUGCAACAACAGAAAAUGAAUGCAGCUCAAAUUAAACUUAGCUACUUGGUGGCCACUUUCAUUUUAAUAUCAGUGUAGUUAUCUAUCCAGAAGGCACACCCAGGGACAGCGACUGUAUACUUCCAAAGCAGCCCGAAGUAUGUAGCUUUAGCAAUAUUCCUUCAUCAUUCUUAUGGUGGCUUACUCUUUGACAAUCAGGUGACUGAAAUCGUUCUCAUGAACAAUUACUUAAGAAUGCUUUCCUUUCUUGAAUCUAGGGUGAAUGGUUGAGGCCAGAGAACUGUAGUCUUCAAGCUCUAUCCUUUUAGAGGGCUGUCGAAUCUCCUCAGAGUAGAGACUUUGUGUCUUUAAUUUCAGAUAUCCUCCCUUGAGAAAGUAGAUGCUACUUCAUCUGUCAUAUGUCAUCAGGGCAUUUGAGACUAUUAGAUCUAUCCUGUCAGCUCACUACAAAGGAAAUGUAAUCUAUUAUAACCCUCUAGUUUCUUAUUGGGUUUUAAUGACUUAAAAAUAUUAUAUUUUAUUUACUUAUAAGAUUACAGGAAGAAAGAAAUAAAGGUAAAUGGAAGCACACAGUGAUUUCUUUCAAAAAUACUGAGAAAAAAAAUGAAAUGCUCCACUGGGUGCUUCAGGAAUUAACUUUACAACCUAAGGGACUCAUAAGAUAAGAAAAUACAUUUUUGAAGGUUAUAUUUAAAAGCUAAUUACUAUAGAAACAAAAUUGCAUUUUGUUGGGAACUUCCAUAGAUUUACAGUGUUCCUGCUCAAAAAACACAAAACAAAACAAAACAAAACAAAAAAUGAAAAACAGCAAAAAAAAAUUGGAAACAUUAAACUUCAAGAAACCUUAAAGGUCAGUUUCUCUAACCACAUGUCGGAAGCUUUAAUUCUCAAUAUGCUUUACUUCUCAGAACAACAUAAGAUGUGUUAAAAAAGAAAUGUACCUAUACUCGGUAGGUUUCAUUACAUAGGAUAACUAUUUAUCAUUAUAAGCUAAAUGUGAAAUUUUCCUUGACAAUUUUUUAAUGUUUUGAACCAAUGAAAAAACGUUUUUCAUAAAUUAAAAAUAAAGUUGUAAGAAUAUGAAAAAUACCAGUUUUUUAACAGCUAUGAAUUUUCUUUAAGUAAAAAAAUAAGCAAUAUGUGUAACAUUUUUAUUAUAAAGGAGACUGUAAUGUUAUAGUUUACAGAUUAUGUUUUAAUAAAUAUGUUAAAUAUG